rnacentral:rRNA from 1 species
AUACGGAGGGUGCGAGCGUUGUUCGGAAUUAUUGGGCGUAAAGAGCAUGUAGGCGGUCUGUUAAGUCUGGUGUGAAAGCCCGGGGCUCAACCCCGGAAGUGCAUUGGAUACUGGCAGACUUGAGUAUGGGAGAGGAAAGCGGAAUUCCGAGUGUAGGAGUGAAAUCCGUAGAUAUUCGGAGGAACACCAGUGGCGAAGGCGGCUUUCUGGACCAAUACUGACGCUGAGAUGCGAAAGCGUGGGGAGCAAACAGGAUUAGAAACCCGUGUAGUCC